GCCAGAAACUUUGCAUGAUUUUUGCUAUGAAGAACUUUUGAAGGAUUUUUCUGUGUUAACUCUAACUUCCCUGUUACUUGUUCCAGGUGCAAUUUCAGCCUGACCUGUUCCAGUCCUCUGUAGUGGCUCUGGUUACUUCCUGGAUUUUGACUGUACCUGGCAAGUGGGGCUUCUUUCCUGACACUUAUUCUCUCCCUGGCAGUUUUCCUGGAUUCUCCAUGGUGAAAGAUUAGACUUGCCGCUUCUGUUGUGCCUGACCAAGUUUUGCAAUAAACCUUCUUUAUUUAACAAGUUUUCUGAGAGUCUCUGCAUGUGGGUUAAGUCGGCUGUAAAAAUCAUGACACUUCCUGUAAAUCAUGAUUUAAAACAUUAGCCCCAUUUACUAAAAAAGUGUGGUCAUCUUUAAAGCAGCAUCCAUUUAUCUUUUGGCCAUAUUGAAAAACUACCUUCUAUCACAUUGUUUCCUGCUGAGGGCACAAUGUGCUGGUAAAGACAGGUUUAAUCUGUGAGACAUGGAAGGUUGGAUGGAUUCGGAGGUUGGAUGGCAGACGGAGACGGACUGCAUCGGGGCCUAUGAUUGAAUGGAUUUCAAAUCGUGGGACCAGUUUCUUGGACAAGGAUUUCAAUGGGAUGUCACGGUAGGAGAGCCAAACCUUUUGACCUGGGGAGUACUGAGGAGCUGGUCUGUUUCCUGUCAGCAUAUUUUUGGUUUUGUGCGGCAGUGUGAUGAAGCGCUCUGAUUGUAUUUGACCAGAUGUGCUUACAAUGGCCGAUGCAAUGGUGGAAAAAAGUGACUGAGAUGUCUCUCUCGUCUGAAGGAAAAAGUGGUGGUGGGUAACCCAGAGAAGCUUCAAAGGGGAACAGACCUGCUGCUGUGUAGGUGUGUGAAUUGUGAGCAUCCUCUACCCAGGGUAGAAAGUUAUUCCUGUCAGAUGGAUUGGUGGAUGUGAGACAUCUGAGAGUAGCUUCCAAUUCUUGGUUUAUUCGUUCUGUUUGGCCGGAUGAUAACGAGAUGUGAGAGAAACUUUUGCGUUGAGUGCUGAAUAAAACUGUUUUCAAACCUGAUAGUAUAAUUCUGUAUAAGCAUGUUUAAAAAGCAAUGUCUGACUUUCAUUUGUUCAUUUACAUAUAAUUUUUAUUAAUUAUUACCUUUGUCAGAUUCAAGUUAUUUCUGUGACCAUUGUGGGUUUUUCUUUCAUUAAUUGAGGGGUACCAACAAUUUUGUCCACGUGUGUAAGUGCUUUGCGCACAGUGGAACCUCUUGCAAAACCCAAGAGGCCACCAGGACAUGUGUAAAGGGCUGCAAUUUGACUCCACUUCUCUGUUAACUUGAAAAGAAUUACCCAUUCCUAACUGUUAAACACAAGACAUUCAUAAUAAAAAAUAUUCAUGCACUAGUUAGAAUGAUUUUACUGAUAUCUUUAAGUAUUUUGUCUACUCAAAAUGUCCCAGAUUUACAUGCCAUUUUAGCCUUACUUGUGUUUGCUAGUCAGUGGUCUCCAAUGUCAGGCCAGUUGAACUCAAAUUCUUGCAUUUUUAAUGAUUUUUAGUGCUGUAGCUGUUUAUUUUAUUUUAACAGUGUGCAAGUUUUAACAGCAAAAUAUUCUUCAACAAAUAUACAUUGCAUACACUUGAGGUGGAUUUUAAGCUAUUUUAGGAUUUUAAGGGACAUUUUGUUUUGACAAAAACCUGGCAUUGAACAGAGUAGGAGCAAUUUGAUAUUAAUUGCCAAGUUUGUUUUUUGUACUGUUAUCUCUAACACUAAAGGUAAACAUUAGUUAAGUUCCUUUACGUCUUAAGCCACAAGGAGGCAGUGUGAGCAUGUUUUUUUGUAUAGUCCCUGCCAGGGGAAAGGCACAAGAAUAGAGCAUGUCAUGGUGUUAGGAGCUGCACUUUUUCUGACUGCAGUCCUUAGUAGUUUGCCUCAGUUUAAAAAUAGUCACUUAUAAAGGAAAGAAAAUAAAUGGACAUGUUAAACUUUGAGUAACUCCAUGUUUUGUUUUUGUUUUUUUGUUUUAUGCUUUAUUAAUGAAGCAUGUCAAAGGAUAUGCAUAUCACACA